rnacentral:rRNA from 1 species
AGGUAAUCUACCCUCAGGACUGAGAUAACCCCGGGAAACUGGGGCUAAUACCAGAUAGAUAAAAGAUACUGGAAUGUUCUUUUAUCCAAAGCUUUUGUGCCUGAGGAUGAGCCUGCGCCCGAUUAGGUAGUUGGUGGGGUAAUGGCCCACCAAGCCUGCGAUCGGUACGGGCAGUGGGAGCUGUAGCCCGGAGUUGGGGACUGAGACAAGGCCCCAGGCCCUACGGGGCGCAGCAGGCGCGAAACCUCUGCAAUGCGGGAAACCGUGACAGGGGGACUCCAAGUGCUCAUGCAUUGCAUGGGCUGUUCUUUGGUCUAAGUAACCAGAGGAGUAAGGGCUGGGCAAGACCGGUGCCAGCCGCCGCGGUAAUACCGGCAGCUCGAGUGGUAGCCGCGAUUAUUGGGCCUAAAACGUUCGUAGCCGGAUAAGUAAGUCUUUGGUUAAAUCCUACGACUUAAUUGUGGGAAAUCUAGAGAUACUGCUUGUCUUGAGACCGGGAGAGGUUGGAGGUACUCCCAGGGUAGGGGUGAAAUCCUGUAAUCCUGGGGGGACCACCUGUGGCGAAGGCGUCCAACUGGAACGGCUCUGACGGUGAGGGACGAAACCUAGGGGAGCGAGCCGGAUUAGAUACCCGGGUAGUCCUAGGCGUAAAUGAUGCGAGUUGAGUGUGGGGGCAUCUACGAGGUGGCCUUGUGCUGUAGGGUAGCCGUUAAACUCGCUGCCUGGGGAGUACGGUCACAAGGCUGAAGCUUAA